UUUUUUGAUAAAGAAAGAGAGCUUCCAUUUUUAACCCGAUUGGGUAUAAUAAAUACUUAUUUGUUACAAUUAUCAUAUAGAUUUGAUAAAUAAAUCUAAAAAUCUAUUUACAGAAGAACAUGGUUCACUGAAUUUAACAUCAAAAGCUCGUUCCUCAAUUUUCUGUUAUUUUAUUCCUAGAGAAAAAAGCAAAAACGAGUAAUAAAAACUAGAUUUCCUGUUUCAAUCACAAAAGCUCAUGGCUCCCAACACAGUAAGAGCUGCUAAUCAGUGGCAUUUGGAUUAAAGCUGCCGGGGAUUUUCCAGCUUCCUACACUAUCCAAAAAGGGAGAAAAAGGGAAAAGGGGAAAGAGAAAGGGCCUACACUGCCACAAGGGUAGGCAUAUUUGUUCUGCCAACCUGCGCAGUCAGGGAAACUCGGUAUGGAUACAGUACCUUUAGACUGAACCACAACAAGUUGUUACUUGGCUAGCUACAUGCUUCACAGAAGUUCCUCAAUAGCAAUGUACACCUAUGAAAUUCUUUGCAAGAGGAGCACUCCGUCUGUUAUGAUUAUGCCAUACAGUUUACACACUGAGAAUUCAGUGGGUCUUCAUGGCGACAUUGAAUGUCCCGUCGAAGUAAGCUUCUGAAUUUCUGAGUCAUCAGGCAAGUCCUUAGAAUAGUCCACUGCAGAAUCACUCUGAAAAGAGUCGGUUGAAGACCGUGAUGAGGUCCUCUUAAGUUCUGCAAAAGUUGGAUAAAAUUAACAAAAGUCUUAGUUGACCAUCAUAUGAAAGCAAAUACAAAAGUAGGGGUCAUCAAAAUUACCAAAAAAAAACAUACAUGUUGCAAUAAUUUUUCUCUUUACAAUGCACUUGCAACAGUUGAAGCCAUAGGAUUGAGGUCUCCAUAAGAGUAGAAUGAGAAUAAAGUUUAUUUGGUUGACUUAGUUAGGUUGAUGAAUUUGCAUGGUGGGUGCCUCAUCCUACCGGAGUCCCCUUACCAAAUCAGGCUACUCAUCUUCAUAUCCUCCCAAGGCAGAUGUUUGGAAUAUGACUAUCACCUAAACUUUCUUCAUGUUCAUACUUCUAUUAAUCCCAACUUUUCCAGUCGGAUAGCUUGAGAAAUCUUUUAUAACAGUACCAUACCAUUUAAUGUCAAAGAACUAAGCUCUCUUUUUUCUCUAAAGAUAGUAUGACACCAAAAUGCCAACCCCUCAGUCUGAAGCCCCAAAAAGAGCCAGUCUCUGCCGUAGCCUUUCACCUUUCCACAACUAAAGUUUUUGUUUGGAUAAAACAUUUUUAUUCAGAUAAAAAUAUACAAAAGAUGAUUUUUAUGAUAUCCAUUAAAAAUAGAUACUUGUCCUACAACAUAUAUACCAACUAUCAUAUCCAAUAAUCAUUUCUAUAGGAAAAUGUAACUACUAUAUAAAAGAAGCUGAAAUGCAUUGUCAAUGAGAAUCUUUUAGUGCUAGCAUUAGCACAUGCAAAUCAAACAAAGAACAGAUUUACGAAAAUAAGAGUCAAGAGUUAAACAUAAUUCUCAUACCAAAAGAAUGCCGUGACCCUUUGAUAGCAUCAAAGUUCUUGUACGUGUAACCAACAAAACUUAGAUCUUGAGGAGAUAACAGCUUCCUCGAAGGUCCUGAUCCUCUUCUUGUUGGUGGAGGUUCCACCUCAUCAAAUUUCAUGAAGUUUUGAGUAUCAAGUUCCCCAUUGACUUCUGGUUUAAAU
rnacentral:misc_RNA from 1 species